rnacentral:rRNA from 1 species
UGGCGACGGGUGAGUAACGCGUGGAAAACCUGCCGUAUACUGGGGGAUAACACUUAGAAAUAGGUGCUAAUACCGCAUAAGCGCACAGCUUCGCAUGAAGCGGUGUGAAAAACUCUGGUGGUAUACGAUGGUUCCGCGUCUGAUUAGCUAGUUGGUGGGGUAAUGGCCUACCAAGGCGACGAUCAGUAGCCGGCCUGAGAGGGUGGACGGCCACAUUGGGACUGAGACACGGCCCAAACUCCUACGGAAGGCAGCAG